GAGUGCUAAGUGUGAGGGGGUUUCCCCCCCUUAGGGCUGCAGCUAACGCAUUACGCACUCCGCCUGGGGAGUACGGUCGCAAGACUGAAACUCAUGGGAAGUGACGGGGGCCCGCACGAGCGGUGGAGCAUGUGUUUUAUUUCGAAGCAACGCAAAAAACCUUACCGGGUCGUGACGUCCCGUGGACCACUGUAAAGAUGCGUUCUUCCCUUCGGGGACA
rnacentral:rRNA from 1 species